rnacentral:rRNA from 1 species
UGAAUGCUAGUCGUCGGGGGAGCUCGUCUCUCGGUGAUGCACUUAACAGAUUAAGCAUUCCGCCUGGGGAGUACGGUCGCAAGAUAAAACUCAAAGGAAUAGACGGGGACCCGCACAAGUGGUGGAGCAUGUGGUUUAAUUCGAAGAUACACGAAGAACCUUUACCUGGCCCUUGACAUGGUAGGAACCCUGUAGAGAUACGGGGGUGCUAGCUUGCUAGAACCUACACACAGGUGCUGCACGGCUGUCGUCAGCUCGUGUCGUGAGAUGUUGGGUUAAGUCCCGCAACGAGCGCAACCCUCGUCGUUAGUUGCUAACAGUUCGGCUGAGCACUCUAACGAGACUGCCUUCGUAAGGAGGAGGAAGGUGAGGACGACGUCAAGUCAUCAUGGCCCUUACGGCCAGGGCUACACACGUGCUACAAUGGGGCGUACAGAGAGUUGCAAUACCGCGAGGUGGAGCCAAUCUCUUAAAGCGUCUCUCAGUUCGGAUUGUUCUCUGCAACUCGAGAACAUGAAGCUGGAAUCACUAGUAAUCGUAGAUCAGCUAUGCUACGGUGAAUACGUUCCCGGGUCUUGUACUCACCGCCCGUCACACCAUGGGAGUUGAUUUCACCCGAAAUCGGGAUGCCAAACUGGCUACCGCUUACGGUGGAAUUAGCGACUGGGGUGAAGUCGUAACAAGGUAACC